rnacentral:sRNA from 1 species
GCUCUUUCAAAUGAGGCUGUUAAAGGAACCCGGUGUGAGUCCGGGGCUGCCCCGCAACGGUAAUUGGCAAAAGCCAUAAGUCCGGUCGAUUGGCGGCCUCCAUCCGUUGUUUUAAUCCUUCGCGGGAAGGGCGCUAGUGAAAGUAUAG